UACGAAGGAUGCAAGCGUUAUCCGGAUUCAUUGGGUUUAAAGGGAGCGUAGGUGGCCUGCUAAGUCAGCGGUGAAAUCUCUGGGCUUAACCCAGAAAUUGCCAUUGAUACUGGUGGGCUUGAGUGCAGUUGCUGUUGGCGGAAUAUGACAUGUAGUGGUGAAAUACAUAGAGAUGUCAUAGAACACCGAUUGCGAAGGCAGCUAACAAAACUGUAACUGACACUGAGGCUCGAAAGUGUGGGGAUCAAACAGG
rnacentral:rRNA from 1 species